GUGAAACCUAACCCUGAGGACAGAAAGUAAUUGCGUUGGGUUAUACAGUAAAUAAAGGACUCCUGAGGCAUCAUCCAGCAAGAAAUGUGUUGUUCUGCUUUCUCUCUCGAUGCCAACUGGUCAAGGGAAGCUGUCAAGGGAAGUUGCAGUCUGCUGCAGCAGUAGCGGUGAAUCACCUCUGUGGAAAUGAUUAAUCAUUGGAAUUCAGGGCCAGCUGAACACAAUAGAUGUGAAAGUGGAAGAGAGUCACUGAUGCUAUGAUUCGCUUGAGCAAAGAGGGGGACGGCAUAUUCUCACCAGGGUAAAGUAGAAUAGCUGCUAGAAGAUGACUCAGCAUUCAGGCAGCUUGCAGACGAUAUUCCUAUAUUGAAGAUAAACCUGUUCUCAACCUGCUCCAUUGUUCAAUAAGUGCUGUUUCAAAACCUGAAAAGACUUGAAUGGUACAGAGAUGACUGCUUUGUGCACAAUUCUUGCGGCACUCACCGUGAUCUCUUGUGUGUUGGGGGACAAGUCCGGACAGUACGCCUACGGCUCUGGUGUCACAGAGGCAGCCAACUUUGCCAUUGACUUUCAUAAUCGCAUGAACAAAUAUGCUUUUGCGUACAAGGUUGUCGACAUUCUAUCUGCCACACCACAGAUUUACCCUCCUGCUCGGGUGAAGCACACCAUGACUGUCAAAGUGGGAGAGACUGUGUGUAAGAACGAAGCCAAUGUAAACUUGGCUGAUUGCAGACUGCAGAACUCUCCGAAUCUCAAGACUAUGAUCUGCCAUUUUGUUGUGCUUGAUGUCCCACAUUCUGCCUUUCCGACUCCAAGCUACCUUCUGAUGGACCAGUGUAAUUGACAUGGACUUGGAAUUUAAGUUUGUCAAAGCAUUCUGGAAUGAACUAACCGUGCUGCUGCAUCACCACCAUACAUCUACAAUUCUUUAAAAGCAUCGUAUUGUCAACACAAACACAAUAUUUGAAGCUUGACAUUUAAACUUUGAUUCACAGUCUUUGAACUCCUUUAGUACAUCUUCAAUAAUCCUUUGGCCACCACAGUCAAGAUCUACUGAUUAAUUAAGAGGUUAAUAAAUGAUGUUGAAAAGGGA